rnacentral:lncRNA from 1 species
ACCUAUAAAAGAGAGCUUCAUCACUUGUACACAUUAACUUGAAUGAUAGUAAUGAGAUGUUGCUAAAUUUCGGCCGUUCUUCUUCAAGUUCAAACUUUUCAUUGCUUUAACUUUGCCUCCUCCAGCUUCUUUCCCCUAUGGAAAGCCUGCUGAGCUAGAAUUCUAUCUCCACAUUCAUCUAACACCACCAGACAUUAUCACAAACACCUUCUGUGCAUCAUCUUCCAUCAACCAGUUCAUCAUUCCGUUGCCACAUUCUGUCCAAGGAGCCACUCCAUUCUUGAAGAUUGGAGACGCUUCCAUCAUUUGGUAUUAGAGCCAGCACGUCCACGCGGCUCUGCAUGAGCUAAGUCAGUCAUUCCACUCGUUUUCAAUGUUUCCGUGUUGUUCUGUUCAUCUAUCACUGUUACAUUGAUUUUCUGUUUGAUUCUUCUGUUUGAGUGAAUAUUUAUUUUCGUUCACUGUUCUAUAGUGUGUCUACAUCAUUUUAAUCGGUGCAUCUUCCUUAAUUUUGUUCCAUUCCAACUUAAUUUUCAGAUCCGUACUGUCAAAGUCAUGUGGAAUGGUUUUUGCAAAAUUUUUCCCUGUUAUAAGGUUUUGAUUCUGUUCCAGCGUUGAUUUUCGAUUUUGAUUGUGUCUGAGGCAUUUGAUAAGUUGAUCAUAUAAAGUAAUGGAGUUCCGUCCAGCUUUGAUCAUUUGAGUUGAAAGCAUUGCAAAUUUUUUUUCCAGUUGCAAAUCUGUUUUUUUCAACUCUACAUACGUGUUUUUUUUCUGGUUUGAUAUGAUGCACACUGUUUCAGCCAGUUUCUUGUGUCUAUGAACCUUGCUACAAGUUUGUUUUAGGUUUUUAAACAUGAUUCAAGUUGUUCCAAUUCAGAUUAAACACUGAUUUGUGAAAAUCAUACUUGAGUUGCUUACAAAAUCUGUAAAACAAUGCUGUUAAAAUAUUCUUUUCACCUAUGCACCGUGCUACCAUCAUUGCCAUGUCUUAGAUCAUUUUUUAAAUCUCCGAGCUAAAAUUCUGAAGCUAGAUCUAGUACAUUAGAACAUUCUCAAGCGUUUGAUUGAGCCAUCCAGCUUUGCUUCUUUCAGUUUUUGAAUUCUGCUGCUGUUUGAAAAAUUUUGCUGCAUUUUUUGCUACAGCAGAGGUGAUUUGAUGACUCCGGUUGUUUCUAUGCAUUCUGACCAUUUGAACAAGUUUAUUUUGUCAUUUGAAACUUGUGUGCACUGUUCAUUUGGUCACUCUUAAGCCUAUGUGCAAAAUCACAAUUGAAAUCGUCAAAUUUUGUUGAAUUUGGAAGUGAACCAGCAAAAAUUUGAUUCAACCUUUGCCUUUGCUGUUUAACUGCCUGCAACCAUUCCAUAUGUUCAUAUAAAUGUGUUUGAAGUGUCAUUAUCAUACCUGAACAACUGCCUUUGCAUUUAGCCACUGCAGUUGCCAUUUUGUUGCCACUGUUUCUCAUUCUAGUGUAGUUUUGGUGCAUUUUCCUGCAUAAUUUGGCAACUAGUGAUGCCAUUUUGUGAUUCUGUACCUGCCAGUGCAUUUUCAAUGUAUUUGCAAGUCCAUUUGGCCAAUUAAAACUUGCAGUUACUGUUCAUUUGGACAAUGUUACACCAGAUCUGCAAAAUCUGUCUUAACCAUUGAAAUUGCUUAAUUUUAGUAAGUGUAUCAAUGAUUUUCGGGUAUGAUCAUUUUCCUUGCUGUUUGACAGUUUAAACACAUUCCAAAUAUGCAUACAAAGUUUCUCCAAUACUCAUCUUAGAUGUCUAAACAUCUCUAUACAGAAAUGCAUCUCAAACCAGCCAUGUUAAGGCUAUUUUUCUUGAGCAAUCAGCUGCUGCAACAGCUCUAAAUCUGAUUGGUGCAUGUAAUCAGUUGCAUAUGGAGUGUAGCAAAAUAUUGGUGUCUUUACUGAUUAAACACACUUCAAAUCAUUAUUAAAAAGUUUGGAAAAAGCAUCUGGACUAGUACACUCCAUUUGUGAGAUCUGAUGCACCAAAACCAGAAUUUUUAGCCAAAAAAAUCUGGUUUUUCAUUGAGGCAUUUCUUCAAACACAUUUGCGAACUUUGUAUUGAGUCUGAAUUCGACAUCUUUGCAGCAUUUUUUCGUUUUCUUGCUUUCUUAAUCCAUUAUAGAGCCUUUCAUACGUUCAAUUUGCGUGCCAUCUUUUAUCGUACACCUUUAAUAGCUUGAUUUACAUUGCUUGGAAUUUCUGCACUUAAACUGUUUGAUAAAAAGCCAAAGUAAAGUCUGGUUGACCCAAAAAUCUGGUGUAGUGGAACAUUCAUGUUGCUCACGGGUUUUCUAUCUUGUUUGGAUUAUGAUGCUGCUCUGGUGGAGUUCUAGCAUCCAGCUUGCUCUUCAAAAGGGGUAGCAUCUUAAGGAGUGGAAGCAUUGUUAAAGUAAGCACAAGUUUGGACUCCAAGAGCAUUUUCUUUGCUAUCCACAAAACCGUUCCAGCAGUAAUCUUUCAGCAGCAACAUAUCAAAAUUUGGCAUUCUAGCACCUUGAAACAGAAGCCACACUUGGCUUUUUCAUCUUAAAACACUUUUCAUUGUACUUGUAACUUGCUAUCAUAGAACUGUGUUUAAUUUGUUUCUUUUCCAUAUGCAAAUUAAAGUGCCUUGGAAAAAUGCUUUUCUAGCAAUUCCAAGUACACAAUCAAACAUUGUAAUAGCUUAGUUUCCACAUCUUAGUGUGAAAGUGUGUCAAGGGGCUCAAAGUGUCACUUGCACUUUCACUUAGGGUCGUGUCUCAUUCCUUCUUUCCAUUUGCAUAAAUUCUUUUAUUUUUGCUUGUUGAUAUUUUUGUUUUACAUCUCCGUGAUAUCUAGGUGCACACUCAUAUAGUAAACCUUCGUUUGGUUUCUAGGUGCAUUUCAUAGUGCAUUCAAAAAGUUUCGAAAGACUUCUACAUUGAAACUUGGGUAAGACACGUCAGGAGAAACUCUGGCUAAGGAAGGACAAGGUUUUUAAGCUUGUCCAUUGUGACUCACCUCUCCUUCCUGGGAGCUAUUCGGUUUCUUCACCUUUAAAGUCUUUAUAAACAUCUUUUACAAAAAUCUAAAUUUUUUUUGAUGUAUUGUUAUGAUUCCUAUAGGUCUUCUUCUUCAUAUAGACCCUCUAGGUCUUCUAGUCUUCAUCAACCAAUUAGUUUCAAAGCAUUUAAAAGAAAACUUGAUGAAGCUAGAAGAAGAACUUGUUCAUUUUAUGAAUUUGAGAGGAUUGAGGAUGAGUUGUAUACACAAGUUAGGCACAAUAUUCCAUUUUUUGGUCAAGACAUUGGUGCAUUGACAUACCUAGCUUGGGAAAAGGACAUUGAUGACUUGCAUCCAUUCAUUCCUAGAGAAAGUAAACAUGAAUCCUAUUUUCAUUCUAGCAAUAAUGCAUUUAAUGUCCUUAGUCUCUACACAUCUAGAUUUGAAAUACAUGCAAGAGAGUGGUGGGAUGAAAGGCAAUAUCAUGUUAGGAUAGGUAGAAAAUCCCCCAUCCAUGAAUGGAAUGACCUAAAAUCUUGCAUGAGAAAAAAUUUUGUUCCUUCAACCAUUAAGAGAAACCUACAAUCCCUAAGAGCUUAUAUUGAAGAUGGAAAAACAUUUCUUGAAAGCUUAAAUGACAAUGGUUUCAAUUCUUAGAGAAUUAGAAUUUGAAAUUAGACUUAAGGAGUUAAAGGUUGAGACACUAGAGUUGAAAGUUAAGAGACUAGAUGUUGAGAGACAAAAGGAGGAGGAAAGAAGAGAUAAAGAGAAGAGAGAGAGCGAAGAAAGAGAAGAGGAGAAGAGAGAGAGAGCAGAAAAAAAAGCAAAGAAAAAAAGAGAGAAUAAAAGAAGAAGAGAAAAGAGAGAAAGGAAGAAGAGAGAUGAGAAAGAGAGAGAACAAAAGAGGAAAACAAAAGAGAAGAAGAAAAGAAGAAAGAAUAGGAAAAUAGAGAGAAGGAGCUCUUGCUACUGAUGGCAAUUCCUAAUCUUACCUUUACAAUGGAACCUAAAAGGGAAGGGUUCUCAUUCUUUACUUCUUUUCCAAUUAUUUUGAACUCUUCCAUUGUUCAAUUUUCAUUUCAAACAAUUGUCAUUCCAUGUUCUUUACAAUCCUUUUCAAAAUAUGGUAAUUCAAAACUUGAGUUAAUUUUACCCUUGUGUAAACAAGUAACUCAAGAUAAAAAUCACAUCACUUGGGCAUAUCAAAUUUUCCAGUGGUCCAAUAUUAAAUUUCAAAAAAACUUUUCCACAAAUACAAAACUAUUCUUUUGUCUUCUUAUCUUGGCUUACAUCUUUAUCAUACUCAUUUUUGCUAUCUUUUUUAGAUGUAUUUUUGAUCUAGGCGGACAACAAAACCAAAAGUUGUGCUUCUUUAUUUCUUCACGAUUUGAGGACAAAUCGUUUUUAAAGAGGGAGGGAAUUCACUCACAAGCUUAAUCAUUAUUCCAACCAUCUGAUAAUGGUUUGAAACACCGUUAUUUGCUAUGUGAUUUAGAUACUAAAAGCACCCUUUUUCACUUAGAAACUUGCUUGGACUCACGUGUUUUCAAUAAAAUGUGUGAAUGAGAGAGUUGAGGUCAAUUUUAAUAGUUUUCUAACAAAUUCCCCUUGUUUUGACAGAGAUUGAAGCAAUACUGGAAGAAGAAGUUAAAAUCCAAGAAGAUGAAGCUCAAAAGGGGUCAAAAAGGCACCAAAAAGAAGGAAAACGCGAAGCCCGAGUGAUAGGAACGAGAAAAGUGCACGAGCAGAAUCACUGCUGGUCGCCCGAGCGGUGGCCCCGACGCCCGGGCAACGGACAUUCGUAGCUUGGGCAUCCAAUUCUGACGCCCAGGCCUUACAGAAGCUUCAAAUCUCGCCCAGGCGAGCUCCCUACGACACUUGAGCGUGAUUUCAUGUGGACCGGGCCCUAUUUCUGCUCUGAUUUGAUUCUUUUGGACCGGGCCGCACUCCAGGACGCAUUUGACACUAUUUGAAGGACCCUGGGGCUCUGGGUUUUGCAUCCUUGGCAGAAAAGAACACUUCAAUACACUCUUAGCCUAUCUUCCAUCAUCUUCUUUUCUUCCAUUGUUAAUAGAGUUCCCUCAUGUCUAUGGGGAACUAAUUUCUAUUUGUUGUUGGGGAAUGAUGUAACCUUGUAAACUCUCAUGUAUUUGAAUUGAUUCUUAAUUCUAUAUGCUUUUUCAUUAA